rnacentral:rRNA from 1 species
CUGGCGGCGAGUGGCGAACGGGUGAGUAAUGCUUCGGAACGUAUCCUGUAAUGGGGGAUAACGUAGCGAAAGUAACGCUAAUACCGCAUACGUUCGAGAGAGGAAAGUGGGGGAUCGCAAGACCUCACGUUAUAGGAGCGGCCGAUGUCCGAUUAGCUAGUUGGUGGGGUAAAGGCCUACCAAGGCGACGAUCGGUAGCUGGUCUGAGAGGAUGAUCAGCCACACUGGGACUGAGACACGGCCCAGACUCUUACGGGAGGCAGCAGUGGGGAAUUUUGGACAAUGGGCGAAAGCCUGAUCCAGCCAUGCCGCGUGCGGGAAGAAGGCCUUCGGGUUGUAAACCGCUUUAGUCCGGGAAAAAGGGUACGAGGAUAAUACCCUUCGUGCUUUGAUGGUACUGGAAGAAUAAGCACCGGCU